rnacentral:tRNA from 1 species
GGAGGCUUCGCCUAGUCUGGUCUAUGGCGCCGCACUGCUAAUGCGGUUUGGGUUUUACCGCCCAUCGAGGGUUCAAAUCCCUCAGCCUCCG